rnacentral:rRNA from 1 species
UGGGGGAUAUUGCACAAUGGGCGAAAGCCUGAUGCAGCGACGCCGCGUGGGGGAUGAAGGCUUUCGGGUUGUAAACCUCUUUCGCUAUCGAACAAGGCCCGCUUAGGGUGGGUUGAGGGUAGGUGGAGAAGAAGCGCCGGCUAACUACGUGCCAGCAGCCGCGGUAAUACGUAGGGCGCGAGCGUUGUCCGGAAUUAUUGGGCGUAAAGGGCUUGUAGGCGGCUUGUUGCGCCUGCUGUGAAAACGCGGGGCUUAACUUCGCGCGUGCAGUGGGUACGGGCAGGCUUGAGUGUGGUAGGGGUGACUGGAAUUCCAGGUGUAGCGGUGGAAUGCGCAGAUAUCUGGAGGAACACCGAUGGCGAAGGCAGGUUACUGGGCCAUUACUGACGCUGAGGAGCGAAAGCAUGGGUAGCGAACAGG